GAUUGGCAGUGAUGACUCGGAAAUUUCAAGCUCAACAGACCGGAAUUAGGCGUUUCUUCCAAUUUAUUGGUUGAGUCGUUUCUGUGUCGAUAACCCCGCUGAUCUGAGCCUUC
rfam:Arabidopsis thaliana chromosome 5, complete sequence.